rnacentral:rRNA from 1 species
CCUACGGGUGGCUGCAGUCGAGAAUCAUUCACAAUGGGGGAAACCCUGAUGGUGCGACGCCGCGUGGGGGAAUGAAGGUCUUCGGAUUGUAAACCCCUGUCAUGUGGGAGCAAAUUAAAAAGAUAGUACCACAAGAGGAAGAGACGGCUAACUCUGUGCCAGCAGCCGCGGUAAUACAGAGGUCUCAAGCGUUGUUCGGAAUCACUGGGCGUAAAGCGUGCGUAGGCUGUUUCGUAAGUCGUGUGUGAAAGGCGCGGGCUCAACCCGCGGACGGCACAUGAUACUGCGAGACUAGAGUAAUGGAGGGGGAGCCGGAAUGCUGGGUGUAGCAGUGAAAUGCGUAGACAUCGAGAGGAACACUCGGGGAGAAGGAGGGUGCGUGGACAUAAACUGACGCGGAGGCACGAAGGCCAGGGGAGAGAAAGGGAUGAGAGACCCGAGUAGUC